GUCGUGAAAGCGGACAAAAUCUACUGAAGGAAAAUACAGUUGACCCUUGAAAGUUAUUAGAAGCUUUAUUCCUGCAAAAUGAAUCCAGGGAAGAGGAAGAGAUGGGUUGAUAAAAUAGUACUGAAAAAGACCAGUCAAACAAAAUAGUUAAGUCUGAGUAAUUUUUUAUCUGUAAAGUAAAACAGCUUAAUAAUCUGCAGCUGCACCCUCAUAUGAUUGCCUCAGAUGCUAAGUAUCAGCUCAUCUCUGGAAGAGGCCGGGGACUGGAGACUGCUAUGAACAUGGAGAUUUGCAUGAACUUUCCUGUGGCAAUAUUCUGUGUGCAUUGUUACA